CCUUUACUGAAAACCAAUGGCAUCACAUUUCAGCAGAGCUGGUGCCAAGUGCUGGAGAGCAGAGCAACCUUUGACAACUUCACACAAUUCACCCCAGCAGACUCACCACAGGUCAGAAAGGAAUGUGGAAAGUAUCUCCCCACCAGGUUUCAUCUCAGUAGACAAGAAAUGUACCAACCGAAGACCACUCUGGAGCUGAGCAAAUUCACCUCAGAAUGGCCAGAUCUGUUCAGCACAGAGAACUGGUGGACCCAGUGACUCUUCUUCACCACCUGAAACCAAGGCAUGAAAUGAUUUCUGCAACCUUACAUUUUCCUCAAGAACACUGGUGAGCAGAAGAUAUAUUCCAAAAAUCACGUGGGAUUGCUUGCUACAUCUACUUCUUUCAUAGAAAUGUAUGAUAAGCAAUUAUACAUGCUCCACCAAAAAAAGUCAUUAGGUUUUUUUCCCCAUUAAGGGAGGAAAGAAGAAAAAUGGAAGAAUGGAUUAAAAAAAAAAAAAACGAGAAACAGGAAAGAAAGAGGAAGGAAGGGAGGGAACUCUGACAAUAGGAUCUAUUUUCAAAUAAUGUUUACAAUGUAAAAACUGAUUGCCUCCUUAAGGAAGAAAGUGCAAUAAAUAUUCUUCUAAAGAACAGCUUGUAGAUAAUGUAUGGUUAUAAACUGUAACUCACUAUACAAAUGUUAGUUAUUCUUGUUGUGAGUAUUUUACAUAUAUGGAAAUUUGCUUACAACCUAUAAGUGUGCUAAUAAAAAUAGGUAUUUGUGAAUAUAAAUUACACUGGUCAUAAAAUCAGACUUAUUAAUCUAAUAUAUCUUAGAAUGAGACCAAACUUAAAUGAGCCACUCUAUAACGUAGAUAUCUGGAAAUAUGGUUUAUCCUAUUCCAUUAGUAUCUAUCAGAAUAGGAAUGCAAAAGUUUUGCUAUACUUCACAUAAUGUUGGCAACCUGAAUUUAAAUCUUCAAACUAGUAAACAAUCACUGUCAGGCAUGCAUAUUGUCCAAGUUAAAAAAAAUUUGUUUGUAUAGGGAAAGUAAAAUGAGCAAAUUCAUUUGUUAACAUCCUUUUAAGUGUCCAGGUUAUUUAUUUUAGCAGAUACACCAUAAGAAACAGCCAUAUAAAUAAAUAAAAUAUCUUUGACUCCCCAGUAUCUUGCAUGUUACCACAGGUACUCCAAACACA
rnacentral:lncRNA from 10 species